UACGUAGGGUGCAAGCGUUAAUCGGAAUUACUGGGCGUAAAGCGUGCGCAGGCGGUUAUGCAAGACAGAUGUGAAAUCCCCGGGCUCAACCUGGGAACUGCAUUUGUGGCUGCAUAGCUAGAGUGCGGCAGAGGGAGAUGGAAUUCCGCGUGUAGCAGUGAAAUGCGUAGAUAUGCGGAGGAACACCGAUGGCGAAGGCAAUCUCCUGGGCAUGCACUGACGCUCAUGCACGAAAGCGUGGGGAGCAAACAGG
rnacentral:rRNA from 1 species